AGAUCGGGAGUCGGUUAAAAACUUCUGAAAAGCUUCACAAGACUACCAACGAAAACAGCAAARAGAAAUACCAAAAACGUCGAAUUUAUCGCCUAAAAGAAAUAGAGAGCCUUUUWUGUUCCUUCGUUAAGUGGCUGUUUCCCAGGAAAGAGUAGCCUGUUUCUUUUCAGGAACAUGGGCACUGGCGCCUUUGAGAGCUUCAAUUCCCCUUACAGAUAAAGCCAGAUUGAUGCUUCUACCUUGUACAAAUUCUUGCUUGCGAGGAUCUUAAAACAAGAUUUCAGAGUGAAUCAAGUUCAUGUGCAGUGAAUGCAAGUACAGAGGUGUGAAGAGGGUUUCGUGAUGAGUCAAGGGUGGAUCCAGCUAAACAUUUAAGGGGGAGGGGGCUAAAUGGUUUUUAAGGGGUGGCUAAAUGGGGUC